AUCUCUGGAUGCAUUCAAGACCAGGUUGGGUGGGAUCCUGGGCAGCCCAUUCUAGUGGCUGGCCAUGCCACCCACAACAGCGGGGCUGAAACCAGAUGAUCGUCAAGUUCCCCUCCAGCCUAAGCCAUUUUUCUCCGCUCUGAUCUGCCACCAGCUUUUUGGCAGGAUGGUCCCUCCCAUUGCCUUCCUUGCACUCCCACCAGCCAGCAGCCAGGCUCUGCCAGGAACUCAGAGCAGCACAGAGCAGAAAGACCCACUGCCAGCCCUGACCACGCAGCAGGGGCAGCUGAUUGGAAGAGGAAACGCGUUCUUAAAGGAGAAGUCUUUUGCUGCUUCUCAGGAUCUGGCUUCUGUGUAAAAUGACACACAAAGAAACUCUUGCAACACGUACACAGUGAGGAAUUUCGAUUGGGGAAGUACAGAUAAGUGGAGACAGCUCUGAACCAAGCUGGAAAAGCUGCAGAUCCUCAAGUGCAUGCCAUGAGAUGAGAGCAACAGGCAUGUACUAGGAGCUAGGGGAAGAAACAAAACUAACCACCACCCCUGAGGAGCUGAUGAACUCUGCUUAAACUUUUUAUUUGACGUAGAUAAUCUACAUGAUUUUAACACUUGACUUUUGAGGAGGGAGGGGAAGUGAAUGACUGCCAGCAUAGUGAAUGGACUCCUGUCAGAAAAGGGAGAAUCUGGAGUAACUGACCCUGAAUGGAAAAAAGAAACUGCAGUAUUUGAAAGGGGUGAAUUUAACUCAAAAAUAUCAAAACUCAGAGGAGCCAAAAGCUCUCCUUUUACAUCCUUACUACUGUCAUGCCUCUUAGAUCUAUUUUCAGUACUUCUCAUUCACAUCACAUGAGGAUAUAAAACGGUGGCAACGCACUUUAAUAAUCUUAAAUCUCAGAGGUGUUGAGAGCUGCUGUGAGCCCACAGCUCCACGUCUGAGCAGCAGCAGUGCUUGGUGCAGAGCUGGGAAUGCUCCUCUAUGGACUGCUUCCUGCUGCCAACCUGAAGAACAGUGAUCAGGGAUUACAACUUAUCAGACUGAGACAAACCUGCAUUUGAUUUACCGAGUAAAGCUUUCCAAUGCUUCUCAUCGAGGUCCUUUCAUCUCCUCCUGGCUCACAUACAGCCAAAUGCUGCUGAACCCGAGAGGCCUUUGUCAUCCUGUGCAGAAGAUGGGAAGCAGCACACCAAGGUUGCACAGAACGCAGUGGUGCUGAGCAGGGCCACUGCGCAGGGGGCAAAUAUUGCCUGACCCAACCUGCACAGCUAGGAAAGAUGAAUAAAACAGGAAAAUAUGGGGCAGUUUACUAAAGGUUUAGUCUAGAGUUUGCCCAAGUAAGGCUGGCAACCUGAAACUGAAGUAAAAAUAGUGCCUUUUUUUUUUUUUUUAAACAAAACCAGAGCCAAUCAAAACCACGUAACAGAUCCACUGAACUUCAGGUUGUUGCUGUGUUGCGUUGCAACAUUUUGAAACUUCCCAGAACAACGCUUUUGUCUGCAGGACGGAGCCAUUUGCGCAAGGCAGAGAUAUGUCCUGCUGCUGGGAGCUCCGUGCACACAGAGCUGCAGAGGUCAGUGCUCCUGGGCAGGCAGGAGCAAGGUGCUACACGUGUGUGCACAUACAGAGCAAAAUGCACGCGCUUAUUUAUUAAAUGGUACCACCAAACCCUUCAGCAAGAGAAAGCUGUGGUUGCAAACAUGUCAAAGCAAGGAAACAGAAAAAGUAGGCAGUGCAGCUCUUCGGGGAAGGGGGUAUGGAAGAUGGGGAGUCUGCAGACUGGAAUUUUCCUGGCUCUGAUGAUUCUAUGGUGGAGACAGGUGAAGCGAAACCUGAGUAGGGUAACUUUAGCCAGAGAGAGUGAGAUAGAAAUAAACAGUAUUAUUCCUGGAAAGAAGGGGUAGUAGCUGUCCCUCUGCCAAAGUGCACUCCAGUCCAGAGCCUAUUAGCGGCGGAUUCCUUCCUGCGCUCCACCUCCCAGUGCCAGGGCAACGGUCCCAGGUUUUGACGUCAAAGCUGCCUUUUGUUUGUUGCACAGACCUUCCCCUUGCAGGCCGAGCAGACUGCAGCGCGGAAGCAGUGAGGCAGAGGGCUCUGCUGUGCCCAGAGCUGCUCUCACCACAAGCCUCCACGGAUGGCCCUCUUCCCGCAGUACCAAUUCCAGCCCUUCCAGUGGAAAGAAAAUAGAGUUCAGUAUGUCUGAGCUGUUUUCUUCCUGAAUUGCCCUUUCACUAACCUUUCCAUCCACUUGUACUGUGCUUUAUCUUUUGUGGUCUUAUCUUGCGUUAUUUAGAUAGCAAGAUCUGCCAAGCGAGGACUCUUUCCACACACAUGAGACAAGACUGUAAAUCUGCUUUGGAACCAACAGGCUCGUCAGCAGCACGAACAUCACUGCUCUGGCAACUUCCCACGCUGCAGCAAGAAUCUGCACAAACCAAAAUGAGACCACACGCAAGAGAAGGGCUGAGCAGCGCUAGCAGAGAACCGCGAGUGGCAGCACCUUCAGCACGGCUGAACACAGCAGAGGUGGUGGGCAGCCUCUGGCACCACAGCACUGCACUUCUGCAGAAAACACGCUUGAGUCAGAAAACCUCCCUGCUGUUGUUUAUCCGGGCAAGCAGGCAAGUUGUAGUGCUUCCAUGGAAGAGAAGGGAAGACAGGGAGCGUCGUUUGCUCAGCUGCCUCCCAAGAGGGCACGCUCCUGGAUAGGCGUUGC
ensembl:lncRNA